UGUGCGGAGCAGGCUGGAGGGACGACACAGCACCAGACAUCACACAGCAAGGCACUAUGUUCAAAGGGUGCCAUAAACUGCUGCUUUAUUUAAUGUAUUUUCGCAGAACAAGACAGUGACAGGGACCGUGGCUGCCUGCGUGUGCUGGUUCAAGCUUAGGGCCUGCCGGGAAGUGCCUACAGGGCCACCAAGACUAAUAUUGGUAAGAAAACCGCCCACCACUUGUCCAGCACAGUCUGAUGUAAUAGGCGGUAACUGUGAUAGUGUUGUUACGUGUCACCCACAACAACACAGGGCUGUCAGCUGAUCACAACUUCACAAGUCUCCAGGAGGACCCAGACCAAGACCCAGAGCCAAGACACCCCUCUCCUCUCCUCUCCUCUCCUCAUAUUUACCCCACAUUUUAGGACAUUGAGGCUUCGCCGGGUGCUGGGCGACGAGAAGAGGACACGUAAAUAAAUAAGGUGUGAGGGUCUGGAGGGGAUGCCCACCCCCUUCUCCACCCACUGCCACUGCCCCCUAGCAUCCUCACCCCUCUCCAGACCAGUUAGUGGGGCGGCCCUCCCUCAACCCACCUCCAGUCUGAUGGCCCAACCUCAGACCUGUAGGGCAUGAUGUACAAGAGGAGAACAGACCCACACCUACAGUACUGCCUCAACACAAGAAUGGUGAUGAGACAUAUCUCAUGUUAAAAAAAUUUUAACAGACACUGACAGACAGUGUAGAAUGUGUGGCAUCUGCUUCUUUUGUGGUGUGGGACUUUCAAUCCAGCAGCUGGAGCAGCAGGAAGAACUAAGCUGUAGAUUGCUGAGUCAUCGUGGUCCAGAUAUUCAUGUCAAGGAGGUCAUCUCUAUCACUGAAAAGGUGAGUGGUGUAUUUGAAGGCAAUGUGCUGUGGCUGCAAGGACCUCAGCCCACCUCACAGCCUCUCCUGGACUCCCAUGGCAGUGCCCUGCUUUGGAAUGGAGACAUCUUGGCUGGCCACAUGGUUCCCACUGACAUGAGUGACACUCAGUAUGUGGCAGAGCAGCUUGCCUCGGGACGGCUGGAGCAAGUGCUGUUAUUCCUGGCUGGCAUCAAAGGUCCCUGGGCCCUCGUAUACUUCCACCGUCCCUCCAAAAAAUUGUACUUUGGCAGGGAUGUGUUUGGUCGUCACAGUUUGUUGUGGCGGCCACCCUCACCUCAGCACCCCUGGCUCCGGGUGACCUCAGUGUGGCAGCAGUGUGAGCAGAUGCAGGAAGUGAUGGCUUAUGGUCUCUACACUGUAGAUUUUUCUUCAGUAACCCUGGAUGAGGGAUUUAAAGUAAACCUGGUUCCUUGGUUGCACUUAUCAGAUGAUGAUCUGUCUUCACUUCACCCAGCAAUAGAAGUGAAACAGCAGAUGAAAUUGGGAUCAGGCUUGAAGCACUCUCUCAAUAUGACCCUGCCCUCCAUGGCCAUCCUUGAGCAGCUAAACAGUCUGCCAUCCUCAGUGGAACAUCACAACCUGGAGGCCUUCAAUGCUGUCCUGGGAAGUAGUGUUGAGCAGCUCUUGGAGGUGCUGACCCAAGCAGUGCAGCGGAGGGUAGACAAGUGCCCACCCUGUUGUCAGCACUGUACUGCCUCACCCAGCCUCUGUCACCAUCCUAGGAUUGCUGUGUUGUUCUCUGGAGGUCUGGACUCUGCCAUGCUUGCCCUCCUCCUUGACUCCUGCCUACCAAAGGAGGAGAGCAUUGACUUGCUGAAUGUUGCCUUUCCUACCAGGGUGUGUUGUAAUGGUAAUGCUAAGGGUAAAACUAAGACAAAGCACAAGACCAGUAAUCAUGUGCCAUCUUCUGUGAGCUUUGAGGUUCCAGACAGAAUUGCUGGCAGGGAGUGUUGGCAGCAACUGCAGCAGCUCAGACCCCAUAGAGACUGGAAUUUUGUGCAGAUUGAUGUGACAAGUGAGGAGCUGUGUCUGGAGAGGGAGAGGAUCAUCCGACACCUUGUGGCUCCUCUGACCUCUGUCCUUGAUGACAGUAUUGGCUGUGCCCUUUGGUUUGCUGGCCGAGGUGAAGGAUCAGCUAAGGGUUGCCCCUAUGUUUCACCUGCACGGGUACUGCUGUGUGGUCAAGGUGCAGAUGAGCAGCUUGGGGGAUAUUCACGCCACCGGGGACGCUUUGCUGCAGGAGGCUGGUCAUCUCUUCUGGAGGAGAUCAAGAUGGAGGUUGCUCGCAUUCACACCAGAAAUUUGGGUCGAGACAACCGUAUUUUGGCUCAUCACGGCCGAGCUCCACGGUUUCCAUACUUAGAUGAAGAUGUAGUCUCCACUCUCAACAAGAUGCCUGUAUGGAUAAAGGCCAACUUGCUCCUGGGACGAGGUACAGGGGAAAAACUGUUGCUUCGUCUGGCUGCUGCCACACUUGGCCUCACUAAGGCAGCCAACCUUCCAAAACGGGCUAUUCAGUUUGGCUCCAGAAUUGCCAAACUGGAAGACCAGAAAGAGAAAGGCUCUGACCAAUGCUAUCGGCUCAGAUGUGAUCCUUCUGGCCCUGAUGUGACAUGAUUUUCUGGUGAGUGAUCCAAGUGGCCCUGUGGUGUACUGGUGCUAGACCCACAACCAAGUGGACCCAGACUCAAGUCCUGGGAUGGCAGAGACAACUUGGCCCUGACCCUUUCAUGCAGUACCUCCUGCUCAUCCAGCUGAGAAAAGAGAAGAGAAAAGAGCUGAGAGCAGAGGAGAGUGUAGAGGGCAGAAAAGGAGAGGAAAGGAGCUAAGGGAACAAGAUAAGGAGAGGAAAGAAGGGCAGAGGGGGAGAGGAGAGAAGAGAGCAGAAGGAAUAAAGGAAGGAGAGAAGAGAGCUGAGGUACAAGCAUGAAAGAAGAGAAGAACUGAGAGCACAAAAGGAGGAGAGGAGAGAAGAUAGAAGAGAAGAGAGAACACAGAGGACAGAAGGAAAAACACAACCUCUCUCAAAAUUAAGUAAACAAAUAAAAUUAUAAUAAAACUUA